UAACCCUGAAAGAGAUCACGCCGUCGCAACUAUUCAAAAAUACUAUAAAGGUUUUCGGGCCAGACGAAUCCUAUCAGUCAUGAGUAAAGCUGCCGCAAUUAGGAUUCAAAAACACUACAGAGGUUUUCGGACCAGACGAAACCUAGCAGACAGUAUAAUUGCGGCUGAGUUACUAUGGCAAACGACCCUGUCUCAUAUCCAAAAAAUGGGUCCAGUUCCAUCUGUAAACAUCGAGAGUGAAAAACAUAUCGGGUCACUCUUGAAAUGGGCAGAAACAAGAGUUGAGAAGUAUGGUAAUCUAUCCAGCGAUCAACUGGCCCUACUGCAUUGUUUGGAAACUAUGGAUCCACUACUUCGUUAUUCUCAGAAUUCACUUUUUUUUUAUCUGCUCUGGGGCGAUCAAUUUUUCUCGGGGAGUUGGAAGUUUGACUCAUAUAAAAUUGGUGAUCUAAAGAGAGGAGAAUCAUUAUUCACCACUGGAAAGCCAACAUCUGUUGAACUAAGAAUGGAUACGACAUCAUCAACUCAGCAUGGGAUAUCUGACCUUACGAGGGCUUGGAAGACCUGGAAAGGUGCCUUGCAACAUUGGCUGGAAGUUAUUGAUCCACGCCAUCGGGUUGGACACCAUUUAAACUUUUACUUUCAGAUCUGGAUGACUGUCGGGAGUGGCCAACCUUUCUUCUACUGGUUGGACGCUGGCAAUGGAAAAACAGUAGACCAUCUGGCAUGCUCAAGGGAAAAGUUGCGUCAGGAACGCAAUACAUAUCUUGAACCAGCAAGCAAUUUGGAGGCAGUUGAAUCCCUUAUGUCCUUGGUUCCCAGGAGUCACAAUCAACGAGAACAUGACCAGGCAAGCAACUCGGAGGCAGUUGAAUCUCCUGCGUCCUUGGUGCCCAGGAGACAGGGAUCCAGCACAAUAAUAGGAGUUGUAGACGAUAUAAAUAACAAUCAACGAACACAAAACGGGCCGGCAGAUGGAUUCAAUCGAAAGGAUCUAUUGAGAAGAAUCUUCUAUACUAUGAACCUUCUGUUAGAGAUUGCAACUGCGGUUCUUGAUUACUUGUCUUCUCAGCAGCGUCAACCCCGGUAUGCGCUAAGUAGUAUGAUACUGUCAAUCAGUGUCAUGGCCAUCUCCUUGAUUCAGCUUGCUUACACCGGUGGAAAGGAAGGGGUUAGUUGGCAGUGGAAGGGCUGGAUACCUUGGUUUUAUCAUCAAGCUCCAUCUAACAAGCCUUUUGGAAAUCUUGUCCACGUUGUGGAAUUGCUUCUCUCCGUCUGUCAAUGUGCUUUUGCAAUAAUUGCCUACCAUUAUUUGUCUCGACACCAAAACAUUCCCACCCAGUUUUCUGUUUACCCUAUAAUCUUCGCUUUUUGUUUGUUGUGUCUCAGUUUUGGACGACGAUAGCCAUGAGUUUCAUCCUAGUUUAAGGUUUCGGAGAAAAGCUAAUAAUAUGGACAUUUGUAUGCGCUGUGAUUUUUCUUUCUUUUGUUUUCUAUUUCGUUCUAAGGUUUCUGCUUGGUGGUUCGUCCUAGAGUGUAAGAGAGAAGUUUAUGUACAAUGACACUUUCGACUUCCCCUUCAUGACCUGGAGGCAGAAGAAGGCCCGUGUAAUUACUAAUGAGCAUUCCUGAUUUACGUGA